rnacentral:rRNA from 1 species
GACGAACGCUGGCGGCGUGCUUAACACAUGCAAGUCGAACGGAAAGGCCCUGCUUUUGUGGGGUGCUCGAGUGGCGAACGGGUGAGUAACACGUGAGUAACCUGCCCUUGACUUUGGGAUAACUUCAGGAAACUGGGGCUAAUACCGGAUAGGAGCUCCUGCUGCAUGGCGGGGGUUGGAAAGUUUCGGCGGUUGGGGCUGGACUCGCGGCUUAUCAGCUUGUUGGUGGGGUAGUGGCUUACCAAGGCUUUGACGGGUAGCCGGCCUGAGAGGGUGACCGGCCACAUUGGGACUGAGAUACGGCCCAGACUCCUACGGGAGGCAGCAGUGGGGAAUAUUGCACAAUGGGCGGAAGCCUGAUGCAGCAACGCCGCGUGCGGGAUGACGGCCUUCGGGUUGUAAACCGCUUUCGCCUGUGACGAAGCGUGAGUGACGGUAAUGGGUAAAGAAGCACCGGCUAACUACGUG